UGCAGAUGUGCAAGUUUAAAAGUGAGGAACAGGACAGAGAGAGCGGAAGGACUUCAUCUCGCAUUCAGCGCUGUGGUCACCAGGCCAGUCCUGACGUGCUGCAGAAAUGAAGCCAGAGACUGGUGCGGGGAUUACAGUGCUUAAAGGCACAUAAGGAUGAUGAACAAGUGGAAAGAAUCUUAUGUCCUUACAUCCACAGGGAGUUUUGUGCCUCUGUCCUGUUGGCAUUAGUCAUGUAAGCCUCUCAUUCAUCUACCUUGGGAAGACUGAUUUGCUCAGCCUUUGGUGUUGUCAUCUGUUUUUGAUGUGCUGGCUGAACUAACUCAACGAUUGCUUCUGUGUAUGAGAAUUAAUUAUAAAUUUUGACUAUAUAAAGCAAUCUUGUGGACUCAUGCUUCAUUAGUAGUCUGAUCAGUUAGCCACUGCAAUGCUAACUGACUUAAUUUGCACUGCAGAUACUAUAGCUAGAAGGCAGUGGACAUUUGUGUAGAAGAUGGGAAGCGGAGUUUCACCAACUCUUUGCAUUAAAUUCUUAGCAUCCUCCUCUUACCCAGAUAGCAUAUGAUGAGAGGACAGAGCACAAGACUAAGCGUUAUGCUCCCUGUUGAAAACAUGUCUUAUGACAAAGAAUCUGUUGGUUUACCUCACCAGAGAAAGCAAGCUACUCAGGCUGCAGCGGUCUAGCUUGCUGGACAUGGACGUGCACCUUGAGGCUCUCGUGCUCUCACUUUCUUCAGAGCCAUAGUAAAAUGUUCAAAAAGCUAUGAUUGAAAAGCGUAAUACAAGAGUGAAGUGGUUAUUUUCUUCUUUUAACCACUCUCUUCCUUAUCUUAUUUGUAAAAUAAUUAAAAAUGAUUCUCAGGAAUAUACAAAGCAUUUUGAGACCCUGACCCACCACCUGCAGAAAUCUUAUUGUUUGCUAGAAAGGAAUCAUUUUUGUUUUCCAAAAAAGCCCUAAGAGGACAAAGAAACAUUUCUAUAUUGUAUGCAUUAGAGAGAAGGAAUAGACAGGCUGUAAUCUUGGUCAGUCUGACUUCUACAAUUAUGGAAAAUUACAAAAAUUGAUGUUAGUUGCAAUUUAUCUUAUUGCACAAACUUGUACAGGAUGAAUCUUCUCUUUUGAAAUACAUAUUUCACUAAAACUAGCACAUAUAUGAAGUGAUUUCUUUUUCUUUCUUUUCCCCAUCAGAUUGAUAAUAGACUGUGUAGGAAAGUGCUGAAAAACGCAAAAAGAAAAAGUUGGAGGGAUUCGAAUUGUCAUGGCAAUAUCCUAGAUUUUUCAGGAAGUUUGGUUCUGUUUAGCUAGUCACUUUAAUUUUCCUUCGCUAACUUGUCUCCAUUCUCUGCCAUAAUGAUAAUUCUUUAUAUGACUGUCAGCCCUUUGCAUUGUGACAGCUUAAAUUAAUGUUUUGAUAUUUCUCUCUUUGUAAGAAUACAACAAAGAAGACAACUGCCAAGGAUAGGACAGAAACUGUAUGAAUGUAAAACAGACAUUGUGCACCAAUAAAGCCAGGAGGAAUAAUUUUCA